UACAGAGGUCUCAAGCGUUGUUCGGAUUCAUUGGGCGUAAAGGGUGCGUAGGCGGCGCGGUAAGUCGGGUGUGAAAUCUCGGAGCUUAACUCCGAAACUGCAUUCGAUACUGCCGUGCUUGAGGACUGGAGAGGAGACUGGAAUUUACGGUGUAGCGGUGAAAUGCGCAGAUAUCAGGAAGAACACCCGGGGCGAAGGCGGCUCUCUGGGACGGUACUGACGAUGAGACGCGAAAGCGUGGGGAGCGAACAGG
rnacentral:rRNA from 1 species